rnacentral:rRNA from 1 species
AACGAACGCUGGCGGCAUGCCUAACACAUGCAGGUCGAACGAGACCUUCGGGUCUAGUGGCGCACGGGUGCGUAACGCGUGGGAACCUGCCCUUAGGUUCGGAAUAACUCCCCGAAAGGGGUGCUAAUACCGGAUAAUGUCUUCGGACCAAAGAUUUAUCGCCUUUGGAUGGGCCCGCAUUGGAUUAGCUAGUUGGUAGGGUAAAAGCCUACCAAGGCGACGAUCCAUAGCUGGUCUGAGAGGAUGAUCAGCCACACUGGGACUGAGACACGGCCCAGACUCCUACGGAAGGCAGCAGUGGGGAAUAUUAGACAAUGGGCGAAAGCCUGAUCCAGCAAUGCCGCGUGAGUGAUGAAGGCCUUAGGGUUGUAAAGCUCUUUUACCCGGGAUGAUAAUGACAGUACCGGGAGAAUAAGCUCCGGCUAACUCCGUG